CUAUACAUGACUCUGCGCAUAUCAAUAAGCGGAGGAAAAGAAACUAACAAGGAUUCCCCUAGUAACGGCGAGUGAAGCGGGAAGAGCUCAAAUUUGAAAUCUUAAAGGGUUUCCCUUUACGAAUUGUAGUUUAAAGAAGUGUUUUCUGUUGAGGUUUUGGUAAAAGUUCUUUGGAAUAGGACAUCAUAGAGGGUGAGAAUCCCGUAUUUGACCUUUACUUUCAACUUUGUGAUACACUUUCAAAGAGUCGGAUUGUUUGGGAAUGCAGUCCAAAAUGGGUGGUAAAUUUCAUCUAAAGCUAAAUAUUGGCGAGAGACCGAUAGCGAACAAGUACCGUGAGGGAAAGAUGAAAAGAACUUUGAAAAGAGAGUUAAACAGUACGUGAAAUUGUCAAAAGGGAAGCGUUUGACACCAGUGUUGUUUUUCUGAAAAUCAAUUAAAGAACUGUUUAUGCUAAGCUGUUUAGACUUUAUCAGCUAUCUGCUUAGUUUUGAGCUUUUCUUUAAUGCACUUUUCAGUUAACAAGUCAACAUCAAUUUCUUUUGCUGUAAAAAAGCUUGAGGAAGGUGGCUUGAGAUUCGUCUUAAGUGUUUAUAGCCUCUUGCCUAUGCAGUCGGAGAGAUUGAGGUCUGCAGCGUAGAUCCUUCGGGGCUAAAUGCAUUCGUGCUAAGUUAUAGCAUUUUAUAGACAACUUGUUGACUAUGAUUUGUCUUGUAGCUUACUCGCUUAUGUUAUUUUACCUACGCUUAGGAUGUUGAGCGCAUGUCUCUCUCU
rnacentral:rRNA from 1 species